CCUUUACAAUUUGAGACAAAAACGGGUUAUUGAAAAAGAAUGCCCAGUUUUUGUUGGAAGAGCGCGCACAAAAGCUCAUGUCGCAUUGUGCCAAGAGCCAUCUGCCCAGCCAACAAUACUGCCAAAUUAUCCCCUCUGUCUUUACCUCACAAAGCAGUCCUAUUUUAUUAUUGCUCGUACGGUGCAUACGAUUGAAAUUACUAGGGGGUUUUUGUUCAGCAUCAUAGUUAUUACUCUGUAGUUGUGGAGACGGCCUGUCUCCGCUCUUUGUGCACUAGUCCUUUUUGGAGCAAGCUUGAGAAGAAAUAGGCGUAAAAGGCAACCUUUCAACCAGAGUGGGGGAACGCUUUUCAAGAUGCUGUGGGCCGUACACAAAACCUCCUCGGCGCCGAGCGGGCUUAGCGUUCCAGGCGGGAGGCAGAGCGAUGUGCGCGGGGGAAGGUCCGUGCGGCACACCGCUGGUGUGGGUUCACGAACACAAUGAAGGAAGAUGUGGUCAAUCGCUGCCACCUUAAAGGACGUACGUCGGCUAGAAUUCGAAGAAACAACCUGAUGGCAGUGACGUCACUCAACGUUCAACCAAUGAAAUGAGAGAUUGCAUGUACCGGCAUUUUUGACUUCAGCAAAAGAACUUCCAACAACUUGAAUGGAAGUCGCUGAAGGUUGGUGCCCUCGGGGUCAGGAGACGAUGGAUCGGAUGAUUCACCGCGGCGGUGGAAAUUAUUCCUCGGCUCCGCCCCCUUCCCGGCGCCGCCGGACUCCCUGCUGCGGCCCGGUCCCGCCCCGUGCAGGUGAGAAGAAUGGGAACAAAGGCCGGAGAGAACCCACUGCGAGCAGGGCCGGUCCAGCGCACCAAAAGGGUCGUCACGGCGGGUUAGAGGGAACACUGGAUGAUGCUAACUCUUCCAUCUGACUUCUGCACCCCCGCGGACUCAAAUACUCCUGUCAAAUACAAAACAAAAUGUAGAGAAAUGCAUGUAAUUAGGUUGCAAAAAGACAUGCCAACGCUGGUUGCAAUUAUGAAAAAAUUGACUUACAAAGAAGUCAGCAUUAUCAUGUGCAUUGUGUGCUUGGAAAUUGUGAAAAGAAAUGUAUAUAACUAUAUAACCGCAUUUUGUUUCAAUGUUACAGAAUCGAAAUGCAUUUAAUUAUGUUGCAAAAAAAGACAUACCAACGCUUGUUGCAAUUAUGAAAAAAAUUCUCCUAAAGAAGUCAGCAUUAUUGACUUGUGUGUAAAGAAAAAUGUGAAAAGAAAUGUAUGAAACUACACAAUCUCAUUUUCUUUCGAUGUUGCAGAAUCGUACUAUCCUGAUAAAAACAUACAAAUGAGAAAGUAAUAAUAUUUGACAACGUUUUGUAAAAGAAAUCGUGUUCAAAUUCUGUUUUCCAUAACUUUAUUCGUUUGCUGGACAUACUUUCUUGAUGCCAAUAUAACGUAAAAAGGUAUUCCUGUGUUUGUGUUUAAAGCAAAGGCUGUGGCAGAUGCUAUUUUUUAAUGACGCUAGUAGAUUUUGCCUGGAUGUCGGAAUAGUCAGGAUCAUAGAAAAUUAACGAAAACAUUAUUUUGUCAAAAAUAGCAUAUUUCCUGUUGAACGCAAUGGACUCUGAUUCUUCCCCUCUUCAGAUUUGAUUAUUGAUAUUCAGAAUCAUUAGUGUUAUUCAGUAUUGAACUGUCCACUUAACUUUUGCUUCUUUGUUGGAAACAAAUGCUAGUUAAUGUAAUUACUGCUAAUAUUCUUUACAUCGAAACGGUCCUCUUUAUGCGGGCAUUUGUCUGUGAUUCAGGGGAGCAGAUUUCCUAGUGGACAGCGCUCUUUGUCAUUCUCAUCUCUGGUCCUGUGAUGAUUCAAUCUGGCAUUGUUUCUGGGUGAUGUGUGUGAGAGCACGGCCUACCAGGGGGGUUGAGAAAGACGAGACGCGGGAAACAGCAAGCCAUGCAUACAUGAAUUAUUUGUCGGGUACCUUGGGGGGGACCCAGGGUUCAACCGUGUUUUAUGCAAUGUUUACGGACUCGACAAUCGUCCCGUGGUUCGCUUCCUUGUCUGUUUCUUACAUCUCGAUUUGUAGAGUGCCCGAAGUUUGAAUGAACAUACAGGGCGGUCAAGUGGUUACUACUGAAGAUCUUCACCUCGGAAGAAUGGUGUAAUAGUGUCGCAUUCAGCCGCACUUUUCAACAUACAGAAAGGAGACCUAUCGCCUGUAACAAUACACAAGAGUUUCCUCAAUAAAGCCACAUUGUUCACGCAUUGAGGCGGCUUGGGUCGGGUCCAGA